rnacentral:lncRNA from 1 species
AAAAAUAUAACUAAGGUUACAUAAGUACAAUUUGACUAAAAGGAUAGCUGUCCUUUAAAUUACAUAAUUUAAGACAUGACAUGCAUUAUGGAAGAAUAUACCAGCGUACUUCACAAGCAAGGAUCCUGAAAUUCAGCUAAUGUUUUAUUAGGACUAAUUGUUAAGAGAGAAUUAGCUAUGAUUAAUAGUUACAUCAAACUCAAUUAAUGAGAUAUUUGGUUUAUGGAAUAUAGUUUAUGGUACUGAUUUUACAUUCAAAAUAAC